rnacentral:rRNA from 1 species
ACUCAAAUGAAUAGACGGGGCCCCGCACAAGCAGCGGAGCGUGUGGUUUAAUUCGAUGUUACACGAAGAACCUUACCUGGGCUUGACAUGGAGGUGGUAGGGAAGCGAAAGCGGACCGACCCUUCGGGGAGCCUUCACAGGUGCUGCAUGGCUGUCGUCAGCUCGUGCCGUGAGGUGUCGGGUUAAGUCCCGUAACGAGCGCAACCCUUGCCCUUAGUUACAAGUGUCUAGGGGGACUGCCGGCGGUAAGCCGGAGGAAGGUGGGGAUGACGUCAAGUCAGCAUGGCCCUUAUGUCCAGGGCUACACACACGCUACAAUGGUCGGUACAAAGGGCAGCGAACCCGCGAGGGGGAGCGAAUCCCAGCAAAGCCGAUCGUAGUUCGGAUUGCAGGCUGCAACCCGCCUGCAUGAAGCUGGAGUUGCUAGUAACCGCGCGUCAGCUAUAGUGCGGUGAAUACGUUCCCGGGGCUUGUACACACCGCCCGU